rnacentral:lncRNA from 13 species
GGAAAUGAUCUAACUCUGCUUUUUUUUAUUGUCUUUUGAUAUCUAUAUUUUUGCAUUCAUUUAUUUAUUUUCUCUGAUGUGGGCUGUCUGCUUAUGUACUGCUUUGUAGAGCUGCUUGUUGAGUUAUUCAGUUAUUCAGUUAUCAAGUUCUGGGCAGAAUAUUGACAUCUAGGUUUUAUAAAACUUUCUCCUAGGUCCUGAAGUUGUUCCACAUGGCAGUUUCUGGUGAAAUUCUUCUGGAGAAGACAAGAGGCAGGAAGUUGACUCAGAGAGCUUACCAAGUAGGAAUAAACAAAGGAAAAUCUAAGAAAACAAGAUGGGAGAAGCUGAGUGAAGUAACUGGAGCUUAGAGAGAUUAUUUUGUCACUUUC